AGGACGAACGCUGGCGGCGCGCUUAACACGUGCAAGUCGUACGGGGUCACCCUUUCGGGGGUGGCUUAGUGGCGAACGGGUGCGUAACACGUGAGCAACCUGCCUGCCGGUGGGGGAUAACCCGGGGAAACCCGGGCUAAUACCGCAUUCGCUCAUCUCUUCGAUUGAGGGGGUGAGGAAAGGUGCUGCAAGGCACUGCCGGCAGAGGGGCUCGCGGCGUAUCAGCUAGCUGGUGAGGUAACGGCUCACCAGGGCAACGACGCGUAGCCGAUCUGAGAGGAUGAUCGGCCACAUUGGGACUGAGAUACGGCCCAGACUCCUACGGGAGGCAGCAGUGGGGAAUCUUGCGCAAUGGGCGAAAGCCUGACGCAGCGACGCCGCGUGGGGGAGGAAGGCUUUUUCGGAGUGUAAACCUCUGUCAGGGGGAAGAAGUGGGCGGGGAAGGAAAGUGCCCUCGUUUUUGACGGUACCUCCAAAGGAAGCACCGGCUAACUCUGUGCCAGCAGCCGC
rnacentral:rRNA from 1 species